GGUAAGAUGGCCGAGUGUUUAGGCGGUGGGCUGUAGAUCCAUCAACAGGGGUUCGACUCCUCUUCUUAUCA
rnacentral:tRNA from 1 species